AAUGGCUCUUUGGUGGGGUAGAGAAUCAGGACUGAAGAAAGGUGUUCUUUGAUGUCUGAGGUAAUUUGAAAAGGGGAACAUCGUUACUAUGGUUACCCUGCCCUUUUGAUCUUGUGAGAGUUUCAUGAUCCCUGUCCAAAAAGGUCCUGGCAGCCAGGUUCAGGAUAAGGUUAGUCUCUGGACAAGGUUAAUAUUUUAACAGUCAUGUAUAGUCUGUUAUAUCAACUUCACAGGAGGUGGUAGGUCUUAUCGUCAAAACUUCCCAAACAGCAUUUGGAGCGGAGCAAACCUUUCACCCCUCCUUUGGAGUACUUAGGGCCUGGAGUCACCCCCCGCUUUCUUUCAGGGAGAGACAAAGAGAGCUAUGCUGGAUUCUUUCCUUUUGGCAUAAAAUAAUUAAACCAACACUGGCUGGUUCACUACAACAGCUACAGUAUAUGCUUUUGUAGCUGCAGUGCCUUAAAAAUGAUAGAAAAUAUUAAAUAACUGGAUGAUUUGAUCCGAGUUGUGUUAACAUUUAAUGUUUUGUCAUAAACUUCAGCUCCUGCCCCCCAACAUGUCUGUGCAAGUCCUUAGCACACACACAUGCACACGCACACACACACACAUUAUCUGUUUUGCUUCCAUGUCUUCUUUUACUCUAAUGGAAAGAACAUAACAUCAUUUGAUAAUAUCUGUUUUAUUCUUUCCAGAAAUCACGUGUAAAGUUACCGACUCAAUGCCUCCUCAUCUCAAUGUAACUGGACUACCACAAAACAAAAUAAUGAAGAUUGGACAUAAAUUACACUUUGACUGUGAUGGUCAAUAUAGACUGGUCGGGUCUGAAGAAAUUGAAUGUUUACAAACUGGACAGUGGAAUGCCCCUUUUCCAACUUGUGCUGAAAUCACGUGUAAUGUUACUGACUCAAUGCCUCCUCAUCUCAAUGUAACUGGACUACCACAAAACAAAAUAAUGAAGAUUGGACAUAAAUUACACUUUGACUGUGAUGGUCAAUAUAGACUGGUCGGGUCUGAAGAAAUUGAAUGUUUACAAACUGGACAGUGGAAUGCCCCUUUUCCAACUUGUGCUGGUAUGUUCACUUUCAAUGAAAGCACGGACCAGAACCCUGCACUCUGGACAAAAAUGCCAUGAAAAUGUGUGUUCAAAAGUAAACCUAGUCUGCAAUAUUUAAUCCAUAAUGAAGUAAUCGAGUUCAGGUGUAUCAGAGGAACAAGUCAUGAUGGAGCAGUGAUGAUGCGUCAGAGGUGUGUUAAUGGUGUGCUGGCCCUGCCCACUUGCCAUAAAGAGGUUACGUGACCGACCUGAGAUGGCUGGACAAACAUGUAAAUGAUUAGUAAGACAAUUAAUAACAUAGAGUUAUGAGCUGAUCUCCUGUGUCUGCAUCAGUGCUGCCAACUGUGACAGUUUUAAUAAAACAUACAUGUUCUCUCA